UACGUAGGGACCAAGCGUUGUUCGGAUUUACUGGGCGUAAAGGGCGCGUAGGCGGCGCGGUAAGUCACUUGUGAAAUCUCUGAGCUUAACUCAGAACGGCCAAGUGAUACUGCAGUGCUAGAGUGUGGAAGGGGCAAUCGGAAUUCUUGGUGUAGCGGUGAAAUGCGUAGAUAUCAGGAGGAACACCUAUUGCGAAGGCAGCUCGCUGGGACGUGACUGACACUGAGGCACGAAAGCAUGGGGAGCAAACAGG
rnacentral:rRNA from 1 species